rnacentral:rRNA from 1 species
UACGAAGGGAGCUAGCGUUGCUCGGAAUCACUGGGCGUAAAGGGUGCGUAGGCGGGUCUUUAAGUCAGGGGGGAAAUCCUGGAGCUCAACUCCAGAACUGCCUUUGAUACUGAAGAUCUUGAGUUCGGGAGAGGUGAGUGGAACUGCGAGUGUAGAGGUGAAAUUCGUAGAUAUUCGCAAGAACACCAGUGGCGAAGGCGGCUCACUGGCCCGAUACUGACGCUGAGGCACGAAAGCGUGGGGAGCAAACAGG